GAGAGGUGUGCAGGAUAUGCACCUCUGGAUGCUUUUAUUGAAGCCAAAUAAUUGCCUCCAGGGUUCUUCAGCCCAGGAGGCCGAACUCAUUGCUUUAACUUGGGCCCUAGAGCUAAGUGAGACUGUGAACAUUUACACUGACUCUCGAUAUGCCUUUUUAACCCUCCAAGUGCAUAAAGCAUUAUAUAAAGAAACAGGCCUGUUAAACUCUGGGGGAAAAGAUAUAAAGUAUCAGCAAGAAAUCUUGCAAUUAUUAGAGGCAGUGUGGAAGCCCCAGAAGAUGGCAGUCACGCACUGCAGAGGACACCAGUGAACUCCUACUACAGUUGCUUUAGGGAACUCCUGAGUGGACUCGGAGGCUCAAAAGGCAGCAUCCACCCCUUACCGGGCAUCAAUCACAGCCCCCUUUCUCCCUCAAGAACCUGAACUUUUACCUACCUAUUCUAAGGGAGAAAAAAACUUUUUCCAAGUGGAAGGGGGACAGGUAAUAAAGGAAGGAUGGAUCCAGGUAUCGGAUGGGAGAAUAGCUGUGCCACAGCUACUUGGAGCAGAGGUUGUACUGGCUGUGCAUUUAACUACCCAUCUAGGUCAGGAAUCACUUGAAAAGUUGUUAGGCCGGUAUUUUUACAUCUCCCAUUUAUCAGCUCUUGCCAAAACAGUAGCGCAGCGAUGUGUUAUCUGCCGACAGCACAAUGCAAGACAGGGUCCAGCCGUUCUGCCAGGUAUACAGACAUAUGGAGCAGCCCCCUUUGAAGAUCUCCAAGUGAACUUCACAGAAAUGCCAAAGCGUGGAGGUGAUUGAGUGUGGAUCAAAGAUUGGAACACAUCCCCCUUGCGACCACGGUGGAAAGGAGCCCAGACCAUCAUCUUGACCACCCCCCCACAGCUGUAAAGGUAGAAGGAAUCCCAGCCUGGAUCCACCAUAGCUGAAUAAAACCUGCAGCCUCUGAAACCUGGGAGGGACCACUGCAAUUUAGGGAUGUGGCCACAGAAUUCUCUCUGGAGGAGUGGCAUUGCCUGGACACUGCACAGUGGAAUUUAUAUAGGGAUGUGAUUUUAGAGAACCACAGAAACCUGGUCUUCCUUGAUAUUUUCUUAGUAGUGUCUUGGGGAUUACACAAAACCUCUAAAAGAUCCAACAAUAUGUUUAAAUGAGGUAAAAAAUUAACUUCAGUUGAAUGCAAAAAUUCUUCAUGAUUACAUCUGCCUUCAACUUUGUUAUUGAUUUUGCUAAUUAUAUUAUUUAUUUAUUUAUUUAUUUAU
rnacentral:lncRNA from 1 species